AAAAUGUUGUGAAAGCAAAUCUUCUUGAGAUAUAAGGAGAUCUUCGUGCUCAGUAAUUUCAAAUCCUGGUACUCACGAGGAAUUGUCUUACAUAAGUUUGAUACUCCAAUCAGAAGCUGAUGAUUACAGAGUGAGGUGGUCCUUAUGCUAUCUGCUUUCUUGUUGAGUUGUACGGCGAAGGUUGGGUAUGGCGUUCUCACCGAUAUCCAGAGCUGGUAUCUCUUCAAAAGAGAUCAUACCGGCCGCCUUUAUGUCUCAGUGGUUUUCAAGUGGGGUGACAAGAAACUACCUUUACAUGCUGCAAUUGAGUAUUUGAUCAAUACUGCCGUGGACACCAGUGGUGAGUUUGAUGUUUCACCCAGUGAUGGUGAGCGUUCCUGGAAUUGGGAGGCGACUCCUUCUACCAGUCCCGGUGGUGGUUCUAAAGAUGAUGAAGAUGAGGACCCUAACUACCAUCCGCAUAAAUUUUUUUUGGGUAGUUUUGAAACAUCUUCAACUAGGUAACCUGUCAAGCCAGUUACCUAAACAUUGCCAUGUUUUUUGGGAUAGAUAGAAGAGAACAAACGGUGGAAUGGUGGCAAGCUUAUGUACAGGACUCGAGAGGCAUGCUAAAUAGGAGGCAGAAGCAAUUGCAGGAGAUUUUUGCAUCCAACCUUCAUCUAGGAGACCACCCCAUCACCAAUGAGGGAUGGAGCGGCUGCGUGGUUGGUGGCCACAUGAAUGGUCGUCGUGUUGUUGUGAAGUUUGCUCUCCCAAGUCGGAACGAGCAGAGACUCUAUUGAACGAGGUGGGCGCCUAUCUGAAGCUACAGGAGCAUUGGGGGGUUUUUGUCCACCCAUUAGUAGGAUAUGGAACCACAGCUCAUUGCCAGAUUGUUUAUGUAGCAAUAGAGUUGAUCGAUGGCAGUCCACUCAGACCUGCUAAGUAAUAAGCUCUUGAAACCAGCAAGUGCGGAGUGUGGUCGUCCUCCUCUACUGAUCCGAAGGUUCGCGUGCUGCUGUGUCAUGAUGCUGGAACAAUAUCUUUGGUGGUCCACAACGCCAAAGUAUGUAUCUAUUUACUCUUCAAUGUGUUGUUUUUGGUUCUCAGCAAUAGUGACUGGGGAGGUGGCUAAUGUAUGUUGAGGCACGGAAUAUUAUAGUUGUGCGGGGUACACAGCCUUCUGUCCACCUUGUGGAUUUUGGCUUCGCGCGGUGCAGCAGCAAUAGGAAUUCACAGAAGGCAGAGCUCAGGAAGUUGCAGCGCGUCUUGGAAGAAAUGAUGAGAGUUGGGGUGGGAAAAGUGCAGCUGGACGAUAAUUUGCUGAAGAUGAGCUAUUGUAUAAAGUUGGUGCGUCUGGUGUGCAAGAUUCAAUUUUUAAAACCUGAUGCAGUCUUGCAGAAGUUAGGCAUUUCCUGGAUUUGAAUUCAGAGCCUUGUGAUGAAGAAUACAAUUGUAACGUGGUAAGUGGUAAAAAGAAUUAUCAAAAUGGAAAACAAAUCAGUAGAGCUGUUGAUGCCUAAACUUUUGAGGCCUGAGGGAACUUUGAGCGUUCACAAACUCUGCUCAUGUUUACAGACCCUGCUCAUGUUUAUGCACAGAUUCCGAAUCCUCUUUGCAGAUGAUUGGGUGGGAGCCUUGCUGCAUAUUUCUUGCUGCCGGUUACAUCCAUCCCAGGGCUUAAAGAUGCUCAUAUUAGGUUUAAGGUUAAGCGGGAGGGGUACAGGCUCCAUGGACACGAUCAGUAAGCAUGAGGCAGCUACGUUGAAGGCAGUCAGCUUCAUGGCCACCGUUGCAAAGCAGGUGUUUCUGGUUACAGAUCCUGCAGCUGCUGAGAUGUUUGAAACUGUUUACGCUGAGACGUUUGGGUUCAAUAGCUGCCUGCGGUUGCAUAUCCCUGUCCUUGGUGCCUUCUGAGCUAUACCACGCAGGGACAGUAAAACUGAGUUACCUUUCCUGCAAGUUCCUUCCCGCUCAGCUUGGUACACUUGAUAACAAUGACAAGACUGUUGCUUCCUUUUGAGUUGGUUUCUUUUCUCUCUCGGGUUCUUUCGAGGAGAGGGGUGCAAUUAGCACUAGGUGGUUUUGAUAUUGUGUAGCUAUUGAUUUACAGCGUAUUUGCUCACCUAUUGUGCCAUCAAAUGUAUCGUCAGUACGCCUCCAACAUGUGAUUUCAGCAUUGAGAGUAUUGAGAUUUUUGUUUUGAGAGACUUGAAUCUGCUCUAUCAGAUGGUGUGGUCUCUCUUCGAGAUUCUGGAAACUUGGAUUUGCAAGGGAGGCGUUUCUGGUUGAUAUGGAGGUUGGUUCGAGGAAUUCUAUGUCGACAUUGUCUUCGAAGUUAAAAUUUUGUAGGGAGCUCCUCGCUUGCGUGUUCAGGGUGUGUACUACGUUGAUCUGAGGCUCAACCUGGAGCGGUAUGUUCACCUCCGUCCGUUUGUCCACACACACCUCGGCCAGGGAAUGAACCAUUGUCCUACUUGUGCAGACAUUCGUGUUCAAUGCCUAUGAGGUUUCGGAUGAGGAUUUUCUGGGACUUGCAGUGCCUGUACGUUGCGUAUGACCAAUUCUCAGUUUUCGAUGUCCCGAGGAUGACGUGGGAAUCUUGGGCAUGUUUGAGAGGUUCGAGUUACUGGAGUGUUGCAGGUAAACAGGCAUAGCAGAAGUAUUGUACCGGUUGAUUUGCUUAGCAGCAUGGUCAUCGCUGGAGCUAGGAUUGGCUCUGCAGAACGUGUUGGGGAAAGGUCAAAAGCAGACAGUAGCUGGAGCUGGCAUUCCGGUCGACCCUUGGUUCGGCAUACAGGAAACGUAAAGGUUCCCUUCGAUAUUGCAUGGAGGUUGACCGUACUGAAAGAGACGUCCAGUGUAACUCCACCAUGUUGCAAGAAUAUUUUGAGAGAAUCCAGAUGCUGAAGGGGUCUGCAGAGGCAGGUGGUACGAGAUCUGAAAGAAUUGGAGAAAUUCAUGAAGGGCGGACCUCAGAGCAGACAGAGAGAAGAUUGGAGACGUUGGUCACUGCUACACUCUAGACGGAGACGACGCGGAUGUGAAUCGACCUCCCUCCCCUCUUUGCAUGGACAAUCCCUUGUGGCCUUCGAAGCUCGGGUGCAUCUAGGUUCUUGCUCCGAGUAUAUACCCUUUGGUCGCCAUUUUCAGCGCAUUUUGACGGGACAUAUCUGACGUGGUCAUUCCCCAGUGACUGGGUGCCAUUGCAGAGUUGGAGCAGUUAACGGUACUGUGACAGCAGAAGGCCUCUGAGCAGGGAAGACAGCAGCCUAUCGACCUCACUUAAGUGACACUUCCCUGUUCAAUCAGAGUAGAAGAAACUGUGUUCACUGCGAUUGGAGUUGGAGGGACGAACUUUUGUAGGAACGCAUUUCUGAGUCGUUGUUUUCUUCUCCAACUACUGGCUCAUUCCUUGAAUGCGAGCGCUAUUGGAUCACACGGUUGUAGCUCAUGCUUGGUAGUGAAGCACUCGAUAAUCAUUUAGCACUCACUACGCUCAAUCUUGCUGCAUCUAGAAGAAUCGCUGACACGAACGCAGGACACAUUGUUGGCGGCGCAUCUGUUGGCGGCCGUAACACUGCUCGUGGACCGAAUGUCGAUGGAGUCACUUGUAUCUUCGGUCCUCGAAGCAACCUCCCGAUCUUGCCAUGGCGAAGUCUCUUAGUGGGGUCCUUCUUAGACUGGAGAAGAGGUACUUGGGUUCACAGUCCAGGCGAACUGGGAAAUGGGCACUCCUGAUGAGGAAUUUCUUCCAGACGAGGUCAGAUCACCGAGUGGAACGAUCGUGUGAAAUUGCUGCAGAAGUAUGACGGCAACACUGGCUGCCCUCAUCGUGAGCAGUGAGGAGCGGUGGCACUAGUCGAUUAUCCCAAUUCUGGAGCAAUGCUGAUUCGUGGCCGGUUACAGAUGCAGGUGUUCCGUGCAGAAUUGACGGACUCGCAGGUUCCAAGCAAGCGAGGAGACAGGUGGAAAAUGCCGAAGAGCAUCUUCGAAGAGCCUCAUUUGGUUUAGUUUCAGCGGUCCACGCACCAAACACCCCAUCACUCAUGGCCUUGGACAUAUCAUCAUAAGCUACCAACAUGGCUCCAGUUCUGCUCCCAAUGCUCAUCGUCGUCGCUGCAAGAUAUAGCAAGAAUUCUUUAUUCGGGCGGGGAAUGCAUCUCCUUCUAGUUUCCCACUUUGGCCACAUGAGUUCCUUGGAAUGAUUCAGAUUGUCUAUUCAAAAUUCACCUGAACUGAGUCUCCACUCGACCGGCGUUGACGUCGUUAUUGUUUUCGUUCUUUUCCGGGCCCCUGCUGGUGCUCUCAGCUGCUCGGAGGAACGUUACACCAUGCCAGAUGAUUGCUAGAAACGUACUGAGCAGCCUGGGAUUGUGUUAAGCUAGUGUAGUUUCUGAAGAGGCUCACCUAGUUCUAGUCUGAAUGAUGGAUCGCGGAAGCGACUUCCACCUUUGGAUUGAAGAUUCUUCAACUAACAACUUUCUUUCAAUUAGAGGAUUUGCUUCUCAGCCUUGAAACCCCAGACGACGUUCUUUCUCAUAGGCCCGUUCUCGUUUUCAGGUGCGAUUACAUGCUCUUCGCUUCUUUUUUUUGUAAGGGUGUGUAUGAGUUGAAGAGCUUUUCUGUU